UACGUAGGGUGCGAGCGUUAAUCGGAAUUACUGGGCGUAAAGCGUGCGCAGGCGGUUUUGUAAGCCAGAUGUGAAAUCCCCGGGCUUAACCUGGGAAUGGCAUUUGGGACUGCAAGGCUCGAGUCCGGAAGAGGUUGGUGGAACAGCUAGUGUAGAGGUGAAAUUCGUAGAUAUUCGGAAGAACACCAGUGGCGAAGGCGACUCACUGGCCCGAUACUGACGCUGAGGCGCGAAAGCUAGGGGAGCAAACGGG
rnacentral:rRNA from 1 species